rnacentral:rRNA from 1 species
UGGGGAAUUGUUCGCAAUGGGCGCAAGCCUGACGACGCAACGCCGCGUGGAGGAUGAAGAUUUUCGGAUCGUAAACUCCUGUCGAAUGGGACGAAAAAGUUGUGGGUUAACAGCCCGCGAUUCUGACGGUACCGUUAAAGGAAACCCCGGCUAACUCCGUGCCAGCAGCCGCGGUAAUACGGGGGGGGUAAGCGUUGUUCGGAAUUACUGGGCGUAAAGGGCUCGUAGGCGGCCAACUAAGUCGGACGUGAAAUCCCUCAGCUUAACUGGGGAACUGCGUCCGAUACUGGAUGGCUUGGAUUUGGGAGAGGGAUGCGGAAUUCCAGGUGUAGCGGUGAAAUGCGUAGAUAUCUGGAGGAACACCGGUGGCGAAGGCGGCAUCCUGGACCAAUAUUGACGCUGAGGAGCGAAAGCUAGGGGAGCAAACGGGAUUAGAUACCCCCGUAGUCC